AAAAAAAAAAAAAAAAAAGAGAGAGAGAAAGAAAAGAAAAGCCUCUUCAGCGUGACAUUAAAGGCUGCUGUUUUCCAGCGAAGCGCACUGGCCAGAUGCCUCGCCGUGUCCCAUUUUGUUGACUUUUGUUUCGCGAGCGCCAGGUCCAGCCCGGGCAGGGUCUGGCGCACUCCGCCGGCGCCCCCCCCGCCGCCCCCCGGCCCUGCCCGGCCCGGCUCGGCCCGGCCCGGCCCGGGGCGCUGCACCCUGCUGAACUUUCUAGUUUUAAACGUGUUGGCAGCGCCGGGGAGGAUGGAGGCUNNNNNNNNNNUCUCGCACCCGCACUCACUCUCUCUCUUUCUCUCUCUUUUAAGUUCCUUAUAAGACAAAGCUCUUCAGUCCUCUCGGCAGCAGCAGCAGCAGCAGCAGCAGGGAAGAUGCCAGCGGAGAUGUGCAAAAUAAAUACGGGUUGAUCAGUUCGAUCUGUAGCCCAAAUCCAUUAUCUUUCUCUCGUCCUCUUUUUUUUUUUUUUUUCUUUUCUUUUUCCCGUUCCUCUCUCCCCUUCUCCCCCUCCUUUCCUUAAUCACUUCUUCUUCUGCUGCUCCUUCUUCUCGGCGGCGGAGAGCCGAGCAAGCGGCGGCGAUGAGACGGUAAAUUCAGUCACUCCCCCCCUCUCAGGCUUUCUCCGAGAUCAAAGAGUCUCAAAGCGCAACUUUCUCGCUCGCUCGCAGGCUGGCUUGGUUCAGGCUCGUGGAUUUGUGGGCUGCUGGUGGUGGGGGUUUUGUUUGUUUGUUUGUUUUUUUAUUGCGUUGCUAAUAGUUUGUUCAUUGUGCAAAAAACGAGGUCGAUCCAGUCUCUCCUUCUCCUCCCAGCACUUAGUCUAAGAGCAAGAAAGCAAAUAAUAAAAAGGAGUAAAGCCCCCAUACAUACAUAUACACCGGAUGGGAAAUGUCAGUCACUCCUCCACCUUCCAAACAGUCACAGAUCAAACAGUGUCACCACCGGAGAGGACUACUUUUCUGUCUUGCUCUCCCUUUUUUUUUCCGCCACAAAUCGAAGCUUCUUCUGCUACUAAAUAUAAUGCGAACACGGUUUUUUUUAUCAUGGAUUUUUUUUUUUGGCUGAUCUUGAUCUGCAACAGGAAAAAAAAAAAUACGAAACACGAAAACAAAAAAACAAAACACCAAAAAAAAAAAUUGCCAAAACCAAGAAAAACCCCGGAGAGUGUGUGCAAAGAGGGCGGGCGGGGGGGGGGAGGAAGAAAAGCUAGUCACUGAGUGGGAGAGAUUAACGUGAACUGUCCCCCCCCCAAACUCCUGGGAGAGAAAGAGAUCCACUCUCCCUCUCUGCUCUUUUCACUGAAAUAUAACACACAUUCGGGUCCCAGAGCUCUCAGACAGCCUCAACUGAUAGACAGACACAUCGAGCUGCUUUUCCUGCUUCAGCUCCUUACUCCUCCUCCUCUUGCCCACGUCACCCUGACAAUUACAAAUAGGUCUCACACAAACCCAUACCUGUCAAUCUUUUUAAUUGCUUUGUUUUCUUUUUUUUUUUUUUUUCCCCUUUCUCUCCUUCCGAGAGCUAAACAAUAUGAAAAAAAAAAAAAAAAAAGUCUUAAUACAGCAGGGCAUAAAAGAUUUCUCAUGUGAGCCGCACGCACGCCGAGGGGGCUGUUGUUAACAGAUCCACUUGCUGAAGUGCCGCGCCAAGACGCAUGUGCUGCUUCAACAACUUGAGGUCUGCUGCCGGCAAACUUACCCCAGAUAAAUAAAUAAAGAAAGACACGAAAAUAAGGCAGGGGACGGGACCUCGCCGUGGCAGGCGGCUGCCCGGCGCUGAGCGGCUCCGCGGUGCCAGCAGCCCGCCGAGCGAAGCGCGCUGCUCACGGAGCCCGUGCGCCCGGGGGAUUUACAUAACGCGGGGACAGGAGGUGCUCUUCCCGGGCUUCUGUCAGCCGGGAAAGCAAAGAAAAAGCCACCACCCAGCCGAUUCCGACAGGAACACGCUCCAAACUGCAGUUUUGCUCUCUUUCGGGCAAAAAGGGGAUUUGUUAUUUUUUUUCUCCCCUUUUCCUGUACAUGUUUAGCGAGGUAGAGCCGAGGAAGGCGCUGCUUGCUGGCACGGAGACACCCCCUGCCCUGCCCUCCCUCACACAAAGUUGGGACAACCACCGCCGCGGCGCCGCUUCGCUCCCUUAACCCAGCUCCCUCCCCGCACAGCUCCCCUUUGCCGCGCCGUGAGGCGAGAAAACCACUUUAUUAAUCAUUAGGGGGGGAAAAAAACCCCGAGAGGCUUCCCCGCGCGGCGCCGGCCGACAGGUCAACCCGCGGUGGCCGGCCGACAGGUCAACCCGCGGUGGCGGCCGCACGCCC
rnacentral:lncRNA from 1 species